rnacentral:hammerhead_ribozyme from 1 species
AUCCAGCUGACGAGUCCCAAAAAGGACGAAUCGCGCGUCCUGAAU